UACAGAGGUCUCGAGCGUUAGGCGGAAUCACUGGGCUUAAAGCGUGUGUAGGUGGAUGCCUAAGUACCUUGUGAAAUCCCACGGCUUAACCGUGGAACUGCUCGGUAUACUGGGUGUCUUGAGUCACUCAGGGGCGAGCGGAACAAAUGGUGGAGCGGUGAAAUGCGUAGAUAUCAUUUGGAACGCCAAUGGUGAAAACAGCUCGCUGGGGGUGCACUGACACUGAGACACGAAAGCCAGGGGAGCGAACGGG
rnacentral:rRNA from 1 species